rnacentral:rRNA from 1 species
UGAGGAACAUGACCUUCGGCGGGGGAUAGCCGGCCCAACGGCCGGGUAAUACCGCGUACGACCACAUGGGGACACCCCUGAGUGGUGAAAGCAGCAAUGCGCCGAUGGAGUGCCUCGCGGCCUAUCAGCUAGUUGGUGAGGUAACGGCUCACCAAGGCGACGACGGGUAGCCGGCCUGAGGAGGGGCGACCGGCCACACGUGGGACUGAGACACCGGCCCAGACCUCCGUAGGGNGCAGCAGG